rnacentral:rRNA from 1 species
UACGUAGGGUGCAGGCGUUAAUCGGAAUUACUGGGCGUAAAGCGUGCGCAGGCGGUUUGCUAAGACAGGUGUGAAAUCCCCCGGGCUUAACCUGGGAACUGCGCUUGUAACUGGCAAGCUGGAGUGUGGCAGAGGGGGGUGGAAUUCCACGUGUAGCAGUGAAAUGCGUAGAGAUGUGGAGGAACACCGAUGGCGAAGGCAGCCCCCUGGGCUAACACUGACGCUCGAUGCACGAAAGCGUGGGGAGCAAACAGGA